rnacentral:misc_RNA from 1 species
AACCUAGCACACCUGCGGUGUGUACCUGCGGAGGGAUCAUUACUGAGUGAGGGCCUUCGGGCUCGACCUCCAACCCUUUGUGAACACAACUUGUUGCUUCGGGGGCGACCCUGCCGUUUCGACGGCGAGCGCCCCCGGAGGCCUUCAAACACUGCAUCUUUGCGUCGGAGUUUAAGUAAAUUAAACAAAACUUUUAGCAAUGGAUCU